rnacentral:rRNA from 1 species
AACGAACGCUGGCGGCAUGCCUAACACAUGCAAGUCGAACGACAUCUUCGGGUCUAGUGGCGCACGGGUGCGUCACGCGUGGGAAUCUGCCCUUUGGUUCGGAAUAACAGUUGGAAACGACUGCAAAUACUGGAUGAUGACGAAAGUCCAAAGAUUUAUCGCCAGAGGAUGAGCCCGCGUAGGAUUAGCUAGUUGGUGUGGUAAAGGCGCACCAAGGCGACGAUCCUUAGCUGGUCUGAGAGGAUGAUCAGCCACACUGGGACUGAGACACGGCCCAGACUCCUACGGGAGGCAGCAGUGGGGAAUAUUGGACAAUGGGCGAAAGCCUGAUCCAGCAAUGCCGCGUGAGUGAUGAAGGCCUUAGGGUUGUAAAGCUCUUUUACCCGGGAUGAUAAUGACAGUACCGGGAGGAUAAGCUCCGGCUAACUCCGUGCCAGCCGCCGCCGUAA